UUUGAAUGAUAUGUCAAUCCUAUUUUGCUCAUAUUUUCGGCAUUUUCAAGCUGUGAUACCCACGAAAUCGUACAACUCGUGAUUGAAAAUACAACGGCAAAAAGUGCAAAAAGUGUGAACACACACUUGUUAGGGGUGUGUUCCGGGCAUAUGCCGCCCGCCCCUACCGUCGUGUGCAAGGCUCCGGAGGGAUUCGAACCCUCGAUCUCCUGUUUACUAGACAGGCGCUUUAACCAACUAAGCCACGGCGCCAGUUGUGGCAUGCGAGCGAACUUGGCGUAUUAAAAGCCGACCGUGUACAUGUUAAGUGUUCGUACGAUGACUGUGACGGCGUGACCAUAUUAUAUACGAGGUUAUUUCGUAACAGUAGAUUGACAUAUAACCAGAGAUGGACAAUGGUAUCGUCAAUAUGACAAUAUGGGAAUAUUGUGCAUAACGUGCAUCAACAUAUUAAUCAAUAC